rnacentral:rRNA from 1 species
ACGGAGGGGGCCAGCGUUGUUCGGAAUUACUGGGCGUAAAGGGCGCGUAGGCGGCUGCGCAAGUCGAACGUGAAAUCCCUCGGCUCAACCGGGGAACUGCGUCCGAUACUGCGUGGCUUGAGUCCCGGAGAGGGUAGCGGAAUUCCCAGUGUAGCGGUGAAAUGCGUAGAUAUUGGGAGGAACACCAGUGGCGAAGGCGGCUACCUGGACGGGUACUGACGCUGAGGCGCGAAAGCUAGGGGAGCAAACAGG